CAGCCGCCGCGGUAAUACGGAGGGGGCUAGCGUUGUUCGGAAUUACUGGGCGUAAAGCGCACGUAGGCGGUUAUUCAAGUCAGAGGUGAAAGCCCGGGGCUCAACCCCGGAACUGCCUUUGAAACUAGAUGACUAGAAUCUUGGAGAGGCGAGUGGAAUUCCGAGUGUAGAGGUGAAAUUCGUAGAUAUUCGGAAGAACACCAGUGGCGAAGGCGACUCGCUGGACAAGUAUUGACGCUGAGGUGCGAAAGCGUGGGGAGCAAACAGGAUUAGAUACCCCCGUAGUCCCUGUCUCUUAUAC
rnacentral:rRNA from 1 species